rnacentral:lncRNA from 1 species
GCAAGGUUUGGGAAAUGCUUGUCGUUGUGGCCAACUGAUAGGAGAAGAGACAAAUGUGGUGACAGACUUAUCAGAAACACUGGCUGAAAUGAAGCUGUUGGUCCAAACAUCCUCAUCAUCCUUUAUCCUAAAGCCAAAGCAAAAAUGAGAUGUCCCAGUGGGUGUGGGUCAUGUGAUUCUGGCAUGAGGAGCCUUGGAGAGGGCUGCAGACUCAGCAGGGAGCACUCUCAGGAGCAGACAGCCAAAAGCAGCUUCUUCUCACAGCAGAGAGAUGCCAUGGGAGACAGGAACCUGCUGAAUCCUAAAAUUGGUGGGAGACAGAUGUCAGGAACCUGUUUCUUGCAGAGGUGAGAUCUACCUUGGGUGGGUGCAAAGGAUUUCUGACACACAGUUUGCAG